AUGCAAAGCUAUGCAAAAUGCUUUACGAAGUACAAUGCCCCACACCCGUCACGUCAUAGGUGGUGCAGAUGGCAUGUGUUAAAGGUCUUGAAAGAGAAAAUUGGACACGUGUACAACAAACAUUCUGCCUUCAAGAAGGAAUUCCACGCGAUAGUAAAUGAAGAGACGGAUGUAGAAUCAUUUGAGCGAAAGUGGCAUCAAUUGAUUAAAAAAUACAAACUUCAAGGAAACAAGUACCUUCGCAGGAUUUUCAAGUGGAGGGACAUGUGGGCAAUGCCAUACUUCAUGGGCACAUUCUGUGCCGGGAUGACCAGCACGCAACGGAGCGAGAGUGCGAAUCAUCUCCUCAAAAAGUUCAUCAGCAGAUCAUCCCCAAUGCACUUGUUUGUUAAGCAGUACAACAAAUUACUUGAUUCCAGGAGCCAGGCAGAAGACGAGGCAAAUUAUGUCAGCAAGCAGAUACGCAGGCGGCUUGUAAUUGGCGCUACUAUCGAGAUAGAUGCAGCGGCUGUGUACACGAAGGCCUUGUACAAAAAAUUUUCACACGAACUUUUUAGAUCAGGCUCAUUUGAUGCACGCCGUUCCAAGCCUGGACACGUCUACAAGGUCAAAUUGUCGCCGCAACUAGCCUUAACUGAUUAUGACAAAAAGGUAUUCACCGUCAAAGUGGAAGACGGUGGGGACUUUGUCACAUGUGAUUGUGGAUUUUUUGAUCAUGUCAGCCUGUUGUGCUGCCAUUCAUUAAAGGUAUUAGUUCAGAACAAUAUUGGCAAGAUUCCACCAAGGAAUAUAGUCAAAAGAUGGACUUUAUGGGCAAGGGAAUCGAGACCACUGCACCUGGCAAACGAGGGUGAAAUGGGGGAGCUGUCUUCCCAAACUACGUAUAGAAGAAAUGUUCUAUAUGUGGCUGCUAUGGACCUUAUCAAGGAGGCAGAAUCCGGGUCUGAGUCAUUCCAAACGGCGUUCGCAGCUAUAUGUGAGGCAAAAGAAAAAAUUGCAAGUAAGAAGGCUUCAGAUAUGCUUAUUGAUACUAUCGCCGAACAAGCAAAUCCUGUCCGGCAUACCAUAACUGAUGUUGGGUCAGAAACCCAACUUCUUCCUCCACAACGUGUGCUGUCUAAAGGACGACCUAGCUCCCUUCGCCCAAAGAGUCGUAUGGAUUACAUUGUGGCUAAGAAAGCUAGAAAACACUACAAGGACGGCCCAUGCCAUGCUCAUGAAGAUACUGCCGGUCCAAUGCCACCCCCUCCAUCCAAAAAAAGGAUUGUGAAGUGUAGCCUAUGCAAGAUUCCGGGGCACACAAAGGGUAAUUGC
rnacentral:rRNA from 1 species